CACAUACAACACUCACACACACACGCACCCCCCACCUCAAUGCAGUAUGUGUGUAUUCAGCAGUGUGUGUGUGUGCGUGUAUUCAGCAGUCUGUGUGUGUUUGCGUGUAUUCAGCGGACUGUGUGUGUGUACUCAGCAGUCUGUGUGUGUGUAUUCAGCAGUCUGUGUGUGUGUAUUCAGUCUGUGUGUAUUCAGCAGUCUGUGUGUGUGUAUUCAGCAGUCUGUGUGUGUGUGUACUCAGCAGUCUGUGUGUGU